UUUACUCAUCUUGCUUUGACGCUUGUCACGGUGCCUUUUUGUAGGAUGGUCGCUGACGACGUCACCCGUCCGUGAUCCUGGGGGACCAGAGCUAAUCAACAAAGUUGUGACGUCAGCGUGACAACGUCCUGUCCAUCCUUUCCAGAGAGAAAGACGCCUGAAUGUGCUACAGCAAUUGAUCUAUUCUACAUUAGCACAAUUGACUAAAGCCGAUUUCAUCUGCGUGGCUCUAUAAGACUCGGCAUAGACCGCAAAUGUCUGCGUUUAAAGCUGUUUAAAUGCGCACUUACGAUGGCGUCGCUCGUUCCGAACGAUUAAAACUAUCGAAUAAGAUCCACGGUCUCCCUGACACUGAUUUGUGACCAAUUUCUUCGCGCCUUACUAAAAAUUUCCCGCGUCAACCACAACGUUUCUCUCGCUCAGGAUGUCCUGGACCUACAAACAGGCUUUGUCUAUGUGCGUACGGACUCAACUAUGCUAUUUACCAUAUCUUGUACUGUGUUACGUGUUAUAAUCAACGGAAACAUGUUUCGACCGGAAAAGUUCUGUGAGUUCAAUUCAAAUAAGCCAAUAACACGGUGCCAACAAAUAAGGAAAAGAAAGUCAAGCCAUACGGACACGGUGACCCUGUUCCGAAAUUGUUGUUAGCUUGGGCUAACCGUAAUUUAAAAAGACCAGUUUCUGUCGGUCCAUAGCGGAUGUCAUUGCCGGUGAGAAGCAUUGACAGGCGCUGCCAGCAGCGAUAAACGUGUCGGAAAUAUGGACACCAACCUAUUUCGAAACGAAUCGAAAAUUGGCAGCGAGUAAAUUGACUUUAGUCAAUCCGCUGGCCCUAAGAGUAGCGUUGUAAAAAAAAAAACAAGUAUCAAUCCUCGUAUUCUAAUUGGUUCAAUGAACCUACGGCUAUCAUGCUACCGAAUUAUUGCAUAUUUCGAAAAACAUCAGUGUUUUCAAAUCGUUCGUUAAGAAAUCUCCGUGCCUGCGUGAAGUGCUCUGCCCAAGGUGGGAAGCUAAAUGAGGUUGAACACUUGAGGGAUGGAUACGGGGUUGUAUGAUUCACUCAGAUGUAGGAACAGAAAAGAUGAUCUUCAAAUACGAAGAAAAGAAAACGUGUCGACGUUCACAGUAAGCGUCUUCGCAACUGUUAAAAAAAAUAUUUCACAAGAUGUUUGUCAGCAGCAAUAGGAAUCCUGCCGGUGUAAAAUACGGCCUGUUGCUGUCGGCUCAUUCCGUUGUUCGUGAGCAAUAACACUUUUCUAGCUAGUUGACAAGCAGCGGAGUUCGUCCGACGCAAGGAGCCAACAAAAGGACGGGAUGAUGCAGUUUUUUAAUUAUUUUUAGAGCGAUCCGACUGCCUACCAGCGGCGGGUCUCCGCGAUGGUUGAAUCAGAUCGGCAAGUGACGAUAUGAGCUUCGUGCAGGACGAAAAGAUCGGAAAACCCAGACCCGACUAGUUUGUCGAUGUGUCAGGCAAACGGUCAAACGUUGCAUAGACGAUCCGAAAUGCGAUGGACGGAGUUGUCUUCGUAGGAAUAUUGCUAAAAGCUGCUAUGACAUGAAAAUAAUCAUCAGUUCCCAGGGUCUUCUAAAUCGAGACUCGCGUGAGGCGAAGACAUUUCUCGUUGUAAAUUUGACGGACGAAACACCUAUCUAGGUGAAGCACAUGUCUUGGAAGCAUGUCAGAUUAUACGACUUGCUAGAUUUGCUCUAGUACAUAAGGAAUGAAUAAGGAGUUCACGCGAAGAUGCAAGGGCAAGGGAAAUAUAGGAAAGGCAGGUCGAUGGGAGAGGGUGCUCGGUCCAAAGCAAAGCUGUCAGUGAAAAAGGCAGUUCUGGAGCGAAACCUAAGAUCCUGUUAUAGAAAAAGGCCGCAUCCGCAAGACAAAUAACGAACGCAUAGUUUACAGAUGGAAAAAGCGACAUGCCAUGCGGUAAGCCAAAAGAAUAAGUCUAAUGCCGUAAAGGGUUGCCCUGUUUAAGGCCAUACGUAAGGCACACGUAAGUGCGACAGGAGCGGCGAAAGCCAAAUUCAUUCACGAUUCAGUAGUCUACGAUGUUAGACGAUUAUAUCCAUUAGCAUACGCCACUAUCGUAAUAGUGAAUAAACACUACCGAAUCCUUCAAAAGAACUUCAAAGCGAGUCACAGAAUUCACCUGUCUAUCUGCCUGCCGGAUGGGGCUCAGCGCGGUAGCUUUCAGCAGGAACAGCUAGCACCGCAGCGCUGCGCCACGUUUUUCUUAUUGCAAACGUAAAGCGUCUGCGCGAUGAUGCCGCCGCAACAUCGAUUCGGUCCGGAAUUGUCUGUUACAAUGCGAAGAACGCGCUCGACGUUAACCCGAUGCGCAGGAUGGCAACACGUUUUUUUUACCUGCAUCAUACCAAAGUCAGCGGACUCGUGCAGUUUUCACCUGCACUAACGUCAAUAAGCAACGAAAACGUGCAUAUUCUAUUUGGUGCCAAUCUGAAGAUGUAUGCCGCUCACAGAGAGAUCAAACAAUUACGUAGGCAUGAAUCCAUUCAAUCAAUAAAUAUCAAGUAGGCCAUGACUAAUAUUAUAGUGAAACAUAGUACUGAUUAUACAAUGAAUUUAAAAUGAAGCCAAAAAAAAGCAGGCCCGUGCAGCAAUGCAUAGAUGCCGAGUCUCUUCUUUCAAAGGACACCACGUCCGACGCGGCAAUCCAAAGAGGACUUGACAGAGUAACACGGGGCCCAGAACGAAGAUCCGUCGACCGGCGCUUAGGUGCUGCAUUCGUCAAGAAAACAUACCUGAUCUAAGUCUUUGCUUUAUUUUUACAAAGCAGCCGGUCGCGAAGUGACGUCGCUGGUCUAGAGAGCGCUGUGCGCGUUACACUCUGUUAAACGCAUUGUGUAAGUAGGCCUACGGCUGUUGAGGCCAGUCGUUCUCGAAGAAGAGGCUUAAAGGCGUCCCCGGCCGCGGACGCUGACCCGUGUGUCAUAUGGCUCUAUUUUAACAGCUCAUUAGGAAAAGGAUAUGUGGCUAAGAUGCUACCCGUAGGGGAAGCGUUACAAGAAAAGUCUAUUUCAAAUGCUACGUUGUCAUAAAUUCAUUUGUUGGCUUGUCUGAGUUUGAAAAAGCAUUGGGCUCUCUGCUAAACGUUAAGUCUUAUUCAGUGCGACUAUUAAAUUUUUGCAAAAAGAUGGCCAGCUGGAAAUUCGCUGAGAAAAUAAAUUAUGCGGUUAGCGACGAGAAUAAUAGAACUUCUGCUCCCAACUAUUUUAACUGCGCUUGGUUCGCUGAAGCAUGUAGCGUUUGCUUUCGCUAGUAAAUUUACGGCAUACUCUAAAUAUAAUCUAAGCUACUUUUUUAAUUACGUAUAUAUAUGUAUAAUUAAAAAUGUCGCUUAAGUACGUUCCAUAUAAAAACUUUAGCAAAAUUAAAUUUUGGGCCGAUAGCAGACGGAAAUUCCAAACACGUUUAAGUUCAAAGAGUGCGGCAAAGCGUAAAAAAUCUUAGGAAGAUUGACCACUGUAGCUUAUCUGGACGACCCAAUUGGUAAUUGAUAUUCUUCUCUUCAACAAGAGCCAAGGCUGAUUUCUGUAUAAACAAUCCGGGUGUAUCAAAAAUUAUUUUUCGAGUCCUUUUCAAACUAUUUUGAGCCCUAUGAAUUUAAGCCCUAAUAAAGAUCUUCCAGUUUGUCUCACAAAAGUAUUCUGCGGAUUUUUUUAGGAGCCGCAUGAAAACUUGUAAUAACGUAGACCAUCGAUUUCGGGCAAGAUCUUGAGCUCCGCUGAAAUCUUGCCCACCACGAGAAGAUCGAUUAAUAGUUGAUCUGUGCUCGAAUUCCGAAAAUGGCGCACCAUUUUUUGUCAUGACGACUUUGUUCUUUUGUUCUAGAUACGACUAACCUUCCUUUGCCUUCAGCAGUAACAGAUGAACGCACGGCCGCUGCUACAAACAGCCUGCCAAUGUUCGUCCUAAUUUAAGUGCCGUAUUGCUUAUAUAUAUAUAUAUGCAGUAGACACUGGGCGGCAUGGCCCAAGUAGCCAAUACGUAUCUCUUUGAGUGCGUUGCCAUCAUGGCUAUAACUAAGAACCACGCUGCCACAGAAACAAUAAUAAUUAUUGGAUAAUAGGAGUCAAGAAAAUCAAAAAUUAAGGACAAGUUAAGAAUUCGAAGAAAAGAAGGUAAAAAAUAUAUCAUUAUUAAGAGAACAUCUGCUUGUAUGGUUGCUACGCCGUUUCUUAAACCUGCCGGACAAGCCCCAAAUAUGUCCACCACGACCCACCCAGGUUAGACUCCUAACGAAGGCGAGUCCUCGAUACUAUACCUAAAAGAGAUGAUUCCGAGACCUAGUUCACAUGAAGAGGAUAGCCAAGAAUGCUAACGUAUCAAAAAAAACAGGGCACGGAAAAUCGUGUUGUAAUUUUUACCCGAAAAUUUGAAAGAUCUGCACUAAAAUUUUUCUUAUUUACCUUAUUCAAAAUAUAACAAUUUAAGCUGCUUCUUCUUCAUAAGAAAUGGUUUGAAUUAGAGAAUGAAAGCGCAAGUAUAAUAACCUGCCCAUCGUUCAGGAGGUUGCAGGCAAGAUGUUCCUUUCAGAAACUUUCGAUUUGCGGUUACGUCUGCUGGAACACAUCGGUGAGCACCUAAAGCGGUUGAGAUCGUGGGACCCGUUCUCUUUAGCAACGCUAAGCAUUCGCUUAUCUUCCUCUUUCUAGCUGUCGGUGGGGGCUUAGCAGGGUGCCAUUAUGACUAACUAAUUGUUAUACGACUUAUCAGAAAUAAAUAUCUUAUAUUUCUUCGUAAGACAAAAAAGGAAGGGGCUAUGAAAUGGUCUAGGCUAUAACGAUUAGGGGUAAGCAGUAAGGUCCGUCUAAGGAGGGACAAGACUACGGAUGAAUGGAAGGGGGAAAGCAAAUCACCAACGGCGUAGCUAUCUUCUUUUAAGCGAAGUAUCAAUUAGGGGAAUAAAACAAAAAAAAAGGAAAGACGAUUAGGCAAUAGGUAGAAAAAUAAAAAGGUCACAGCUUAGAUGUCGAUUUUCAGUUUAAAGUUGGCGGCACUAGCGAUGUACGGCAGCGACGGUGAUGAUGCGCUUGAAAAUGCACAGUCAACAAUGGGGAUAGCAAAUGAAAGUUUACUUCAUUCUUCCGUCUUAUACUUCGCCCUUCUCAUCAUAGAGAUCACAAGAUAUUUUUUUAUCGUAAAGAAUCCUUAAUCUUCGAUGAACUUGGUACGAAUUGUUUAUCAAUGGCAAAAACACAAGUGGAGGAUAAAUCUUUCCUUCAAGGCGUUUAUGAUGUCCAUUUAUGCCCGCCCUAGCAGAUAAUGAUUGGCUACAAUCAAAUUCAGUGUUCAGCUAUCGUCUUGCAGUUGGCUCAGUUUUGAUGAUGAUAUAAAAAGUGAGCGUAUCGAAUGCUAAAGAUUCAUCGGAUAAGGUACGUACUAUUAGUUUUGAGACUUUACGAUAAUAAGUUACAAAUGAAUGAGUUACUUAUAUUUCUAUGACUAGGUGUUUGUGGCAUAAUCCUUAAAUAUAGCGAAGGGUCAAAUCGUUGUACUUUAUUCAUACAAGAGCUGCCACUUCGAGCUGCGCAUAACUCGACAAAAGGAUAGGGAAAUGCCUCCCUCCAUUGUCGAUGCGUAGGCAAAUUAGGCGAACUAUUAAUGGAGAUACGAACCAACCAAGUGAUAUACGAUGUCGUAAAACUCUCUCAUGUGACUUUAUCGUGCCACAUGCUCACCAGUGUGUUUCGGUUCGUCCCGUCUUCGUCAUCACGAAUUUUCUUCAGUACUUUUCUAGCAAACAGAAUAACGUUCGCGUCAUCGGAAAUUUACGGCCGUAUAUUUCCUAUGAGAAGCCGUCUGUCCAUGUAAUAUCUCUCUGUUCACACCGGCUAAAAAUCGACCGCACAAGAGCUCUAAAUGCGUAUAUACACGCACGUCUGAGGGAGACCACGUACAUACAUUGUCUAAAUCUCGUUUGUUGUCUCCAAAAACUGUAAUUCGACUGAAAUAGGCUCAUGACUCGGAGACUAGACAAGACACAAAAACAAAAUUUCUCCCUAUACUAUAAUAUGAUUUGGCGAAAAAAGUCAACCACGUAUGUACGUGUCUAGGUAAUGGGAUUUUUGAGGUUCGGCUCUCGCUUAUAACAUUAGGAAGAGCUGGUACUUGUAGUUGAUGUAAUUCAGGCAGAUGGGACAAUUUUCCGUGACUGGCAGCUAAAUCAGCAAUAGUUGAUUCUUUUCAACCAGGUGUCGCUUGACUUGAGAGGUUUUGUGGGUUUCAUGUGAUUUAUAGACGAGGGUCGCCAAAAGAUCGACACAGUUUGACCAUGCUGUAGAUAUUUAGAUUAUCUUAUGACAAAUGCUUAACGUAAUAAUAUAAAUUAUCAGGUUAGUUAACAUAUUUCUGACGGUGAAACGAACCUUUAAACGACAGAUGCUUACUAUAAUUAGUUAAGAUUCGGUUUACGAACUCGUGUAACUUGUAGAUAGAAUAAUACAUUUCUAACGUACGGUCUUAAAUGCAUUUCUAAUUUUUACUACAUAAUCCCAUAUUCAUACUACGUAACCAUCUAUUUGAAAGAAUGCUAUUUUUCAUCACUAGCAAGCCGUUAUCCGGACUUCAUAGAGUAAUUCUUCAAGUACGUAGCGCUUCAAUGAGUCGAUUAUACCAAUAUUAUAUUCUACAUUUUAGUCAUAAUAAACAAUUUUAAAUGUUAGUAUCAGAGCAAACUAUGAUCCGGUUGUUCUUUUUUUAUUGGCCUUGCACAUCGUCCUUAUUAGUUACACUAAAAAUUGCAUCUAAUAAAUCCGUUUUGACAGUUAAAAGAGCCUCAGUAUUAUCCGUUGCAUUUUGACCGAGUUUCUUUUCUCACAUAGAACGGCAGGCAGGCAGGCAGACAGCCAGCCAGGCAGGCCUUAAUACUUCAGUCAGAAGAGUUGGCACUUGCUCAGCCCACGACGGGCGACGACAACUGUUGGCCCAACGGAUCCAGAGACGAUUGCUUCCCUCGCCAGGCAGUGCGGAAAGAAGCUACCAUGUUUUUGAUUAAACAUGGUCCGAUGACUACCGGAGCUAGAAACAGUAUGAGAAUUGGCCUAAUACAAAAUGGCCUUGGCAGACUUGAUCUCUACAUGGAAUCGGCAAUAUCAUGUAUCCUGUUGUUGAUUAGCGCUAACCAGCUGCCAAGUAAGACUGUCAGUCUGAAUACGAAUCUCUAUAACAAAAUAUUUAUGGAUUUUAUUUACGAAGACUAUAUUUCGUAGUAUCGAGCUAAUGCGAAGCAAACAUGUGUAUAUAUCGUCACUUUUUUUUAUAUAAAAUUUAUAUAAAAGGCGCCAGCUCUGCUUUUAGUGUAUACACUAGUCAAACUUAUCAGGUAGUGGAUUAUGAACACGAACCGCCAGAUAUAGCUACUGUCUAUGUAUGUACAAGAGAGCUCGUUUUUCCUUUUCGAUUUAAAUGGCCCAAGAAAUACAGCCUUCAACAUAUCGUAUAUAAGAUGCUGUCCACGCCCGAAUCUCACAUAUAUGUGUAUAUAUGAACGUGUGCAUGUUCAUUGAAUGCAUAGCCCGCAAUGAUGAAAACUUGGCCGUUACGAUAGGCCAUUUUAUUCGUCUAUGCUUGAGAGAUUCUAACGGAAUCAUCCUGUCAUACGGUUUGUAGGUGCGCGGCAUACAUUUCAGAUCAAGUUGCUAUUGUUUCGGCACCAUCAAGUGCUUCGUUGAAAUCCGUCGUUGAAAUCAACAACCGGUACAACAACAUACGCCCCAAUAGCGCUUUGCUUGUUUUCCUAGCCAUUGCACAACCAGAAGCCAGUCAGCUUGUCAGAAUCUUUACGAAAUUUAAUAACGAGACGGCCAACACUGCCCUUGUUGGCCUGAAUCGCUCAACAGUAUUCAGUCCGUCAAUUCAAUCUGCAACCAACCCGAAGUCGUCGUUAGGACGCUUCAAGCCGCUAAAGAGGCGUCAUCACGCUAUUAGACAGCCACUGCUACUACUAAUAACGACCAUAAUAAUAAUACCGCGAAAAACUGUGCCGAAGCUGACGAUGACGACGUUGAGAUCGCGUGGGCUGAGAUAUCCCCAAGCGCCAAAUAACAGCGGGAAUCAUUGAUGGCGCUGUUAUCGCUGUCGCAGUUUUCAACGGACUGUUCCAAACGAAAAUUCCCCAACUCGAAUCCAUCAAAAUGAGAGACGUUUAGUCGACCGGUGCCUUAAUGGCCGAUGCGUGCCCAUUGCACGUCUAUAUAUUUACACAAUAUUAUAACGUCUACGGUAAACGUUAGCGCUUCUAUCCUUUUUCAGUUGGUCCAUUACAAUCACGAACUGUUGUUAUUUGAUGAAAGUGUAGGGAGAUAUGUUGGUAAUACCGAUCUUGAUCUGCUUACCGAGUUUUCGUUCUAGCAAGGCGUCGAAGGCAGAGUUUAUAGGGCACACCCAUAUUUCUUCGGCUAUACCACUCCGGUAAUUUACUGAAAUCGAUGUAAAGAUGUGAUUUUAGAAUACAGUACAUAAAAUAUAUUUCUAGAGAGAAUUUUCAAAAGCAUAUUGGCGCAGAUACUGAUUAUUUAAAAAUUACUAACAGUAAUAACAUCUCGAGUUGGUCAUGACUCAAGGCAAGAUAGAGAGCUUCAGGGUGUCGAUUGAGGCUAGCGAAUUAGGAUAACCAAGUUUUCCUCAUAGCGUUCAUUUUGAAGCAACACUCAGCACGUGUUACAACCACAGCUGCGUGCCAAGUCAUUACGGCUGUCUUUUUUCUUUUUUACUGGUCGGCCUUUUCUUUUACGAUGCAUGCGAUAGUUAUCAUGAGAGUUAGGUAGCGAUUUACCAGAGAUUUCCGCGAUAAAUUUUAUCCCACACAGUGGACAAGAUUCAAGUAGUAUUGAGUUGUUUCAUGUCUAAGUACCUUGACUGUUAUACGCUGACGCUGUAACUACAAAGGAACGAAAAAAAGACAAUCGUAACAAACGUCGAAACCGGUCACAUCAAAUUUCUGCCACGUACGCAUGCAUCCUCAGCGAAUUUGUCUAGAGUUAGUGUAUAGAGAUGUCCUUGAUUUUUUGACAGAAUAAACAGUUCAGUGAAGGAGAGCUGACGAAGCAGGCGUUACUGCCUAAACACUAUCUGACAAAGGCUAAUAUUGACACUGGUACGGUGAUACAUCUACGCUUACCAAGCAGAAUAUGUGACCGGAUGAGUAAAUAGCGUUGAAUGAUGUUAGGCCUAACCUGCUUCGGCUUAGUAAUUACCAUCUAUUAAUACAUUGGAUUCGCUUUCGGGAACGAGAAACUGGCGCAACGAGCACGCAAGAGGCAUCCAGAGUGAUUGACAGAAUAUCGGCGGGUAUCAGCUUGAAAGUUUUACUUUAUCCAAUUAUGAGGGAUUCUUCUGAAUGAAUGUUUCUGCUAACAACGAAAGAAAAGCUGCGGUUACCGUCUCAUCCCUUCCGAGACGCAAGACCAGCUCUAUGUUUUGACUUUUACGUCUGGUAUUGCCGUCUGGCAUUCCAUCAGACGACUGGAUACCAGUACGAAACAAACCUCGGACCUAGGUAACGUGUCCAUAAGCUUAGCAGGCAAAUAUGUUACCCACCCAGCUAUCAAGGGGUCGAGACCAGCAAAUCUAGCUUAUGCUUUGAAAAAGUUUUCUUUAAAGAAUAUAUUCUAAACUAUAUUACGGUAGCAUGAAGCAACAUCCAACUUUUAACCGAGUUCGGAAUCUUAGAUUUAAUUUUAUUUAUCUCCUCGAAUGUUUUCAUUAUGUCAUAAUUUGCCCCUGAUGUUCGAACAGACGAUAUAACGGCCAUAAAGACUGGACUUUCCAUAUCUACACAGGACGAGCGUUUGUCUAUCCUGUCGUGCAAUGAUCUUUACCGAAGUGUCUGGAACAGCGGCGAGAAUCCAGCACAACAAAUGCCAAACCAUACUAACGUUUCUCUAAGUGGCACCGAAAGCAAAUUAUCGAAAUUUAUUCGAAAUAAAAUAUCAAACAGUCAUGCUGUUGUACAGCCCUAGUGUAUAUAAUAGCCUAUUCUGUCAAAACAGCGUCAGACAAACAUAAGCUAAUUCACCUCAAGAUAUAACUUACAGCAUGGUAAGACGAGCGUUGCAUUGCUUUUCAACUAGCUUUUUAGCUACGCAACUUAUACAGCCGGUUACGUCUGCUACAGUAUUACCAAAAUGUAUCUUCCGAAUUAUUAUCACUUUCAGAUCUUACUGUUAGAUUCGACAUCUUUGUAAAGGCUGGUUCCCGCAAACUAGAUUUGAUAGUCUAGGUUCCAUCCUAUAGAUAGCCUUGGUUUUGCUCUGCAAGAGCCAGCCCUCUGUCUGUGCGAUGGAAUGCCCAGCGGCGAUACCGGAGUCGAACCAUAGCCCGAUUAGCCGAUCUUGUGGCGUCAAAUUGAAAAGUAAA